UCUGUUUAUAUUAAUACAUAAUAUCACUAGCGUGACACGGCAUUAGUUGUACGUAGCAGGCGUACUGUAACCAUUUGGUACAAAUCUCAUGUGAGUUUUACCCAAUAUUUUUCAUAAACAAGUUUUGGAUGACCCGGCCUUUUAACUUUCCCUGGAAACGGCAGGAUGGACAAUGAGCUAAUAACACCAGUUCCUUGAGUCAAUUGUGGCAUACAUGCUGUACGACUUUACUCGGCCUCCCUACUCUACAGAUACAGAGGAUGAUAUGUAGAAGAAUUGAUUUAAGAGACAUUAUUUGAUACAUAAAUUUAACACAAAGAUCAAAAAAUCUAACUUGGUAAUUAUAAACAUUACAGGGUUUACCCUUUUAAAGUUAUAAACAUUAUCUUGUUAACGGUAGUAGAGUUGUGCUUAGAUUUGUUGAUAUUAAUUUUGUGAGAUGUUGAACGAGCUUUACGGGAACAACCAGUUUGGCCAAUGUAACAAAAGUUAAAAUCGGAGCAAAAAAA
rnacentral:lncRNA from 1 species